AUUCCGGAAAAGAGCUAUCUAACAGCAAGCUAUAUAUAAUUUAUUUAGUGCGUGAAAAGCCGCACAUAUAGAAAAAAGACGAGAAGACCCUAGAAAUUUUUUAAAAGUUCAGUAAAUUCUAUUUUGUUGGGGCGACAUAGUAACACUUAACUUACUAUAUUAACAUGCUACUUAUAAGACGUAAGAUAAAAUUACUCUAGGGAUAACAGCAUAAUUUAUUAUUAAGUUUGUGACCUCGAUGUUGGACUAGGAAAUAUUUUAU
rnacentral:rRNA from 1 species